AUUCACAAUUUGUCCAAUUUGGACAUUUGGUGGAAUUUUUUAACGGUUAAAUUAGCAUGUUGGUGGCUACCCCCAGUGGGGUACCAUCCUCGUGUUUCUUAGGUUAUGUCCUUUAUAAGGUCUGCUGGGUGCUUCCUUUUUAGUCUUCUGUCCAUAUUUGUGAUUUUGUAUGUUUCCGCAGCUAGCCGGUUUAUGUGUGUUGCUAUUCUUAAUUUGUAUUUCUCGGAGUAUCUGUUGAUUUCUUCCUUGACCGUUGGCAUUCCCAGGUCCCUUCGUAUAUCUUCGUUUCUGACGUACCAAGGUCCGUUUACUAUUGUCCUGAGGAUUUUAGCCUGUAUUACCUCUAUUUUGUUUAUAUGGCUCAUUGCUGCCGUCCCCCAUAGUGGUAUUCC
rnacentral:misc_RNA from 1 species